GCGUUACGCUGAGGUAACACGAGGCGGGGAACUGUACAAGGAGGCCAUAAACGCGUGCGGACACGGGAGGAAAGCUCCAAACCCAGGCGAGGAGAGGAGGGAGGGAGAGCAGAGCAGAGCCUCCCUCACGGCUCGAGCCCCCCCCCCGCCCGCUGCGGCCGCCCCCCCCCGGCACGCACAGCUCCCCUUCAAGCCCGGGGGGGCGGGCCGGGCCGACCUUCUCGCGGCUCUUGCGCUCCUCCCGGCGCCGCUCGAACUCCUCGAAGGAGAUCUUCCCCUCCAGGCUGAGCAACAUGCAGUUUUGCAGAAAUCUCACUAGAAGAUGGAACUCUGAAAGAGCAACUUAACUGCUUUUCAACAUUGUGGACAAUACAACUGAUUUCUGCAAAGUGUUACCCUCCAGUGCACUGUCAGUCAACUUCAGAAAAACCUUCUUGUCCCUACAAAUUCCAUAUUAAAGUGAGCAUGCCUUAAGAAACCAGUGCAGCAUGGCACUACAGAAACUGAAAAAGAACACCUGUAAGCCUUCCUCUUCUAUGUCUGUGACUCUGCUCUUGCAUAUUUCUAACCUCUGGACCUUGAUCCCAAUUCAAGUGUACUGCUGCCAAACAUUUCAGAAGGAUAUUUAUUUAGAAAAGCAAUAAAUGAUGGUAACCAGAGGUAAACAAAUCAGCUUUUUCCCUGCCCUUAUAUUGUAUUUACAGUCUAUUUUUGUGUUAUUCACAAAAGAACACUGUAAAUACUUGCUGGCCCCUAUGACGACACUACAUGGGGAAAUUUAAGAAGUAUUAUGUCUGAGAUAAACCAUCAUAGUUUUUCACCUUUUGUAUACUAUUUACGCAAGGUGAAUCCAACACACUCUAAGAGAUUCCAUUCAAAGCUACGCAGCUAGAAAAAAUUAGCAUGGUGCAAGGUCAACUAAACCUAAUGCAUCAUGUAAUAAUAAUACAAUCCACAAACCAACUAUGAAGCACCAAGCAAUAAUAACAUUAUUAAUAAAUAAUAAAAAUUGUCUUAACUUCUAAUUAUUUCUGACAUGUCAAAUAACACAAAGGCAUGAGACUCUUUCAGUGACCGAUACCAAAAAGGCAAUAAUUUUCUCAGUGUGACUCAGAAAAAUCAAAAGUGAGCUUGUCCUGAUUAAGCAUUCUGUGAGGGAAGAAGAAAUUAUCAUGGGGAAUACACAGUGGGUCAUAUAUACAAACCUGCCUUGUGUUUUCAUC